UUAUACAGUUUACUAAUAAUAAUUUUAAUUAUUUUGUUCAAAAAAUAUCCUUUACAGAAAUAUCAAAUUUAUUUCAAAAGACAUGUUUGAU
rnacentral:miRNA from 1 species